AUCUGACUGACGAGUCCCAAAUAGGACGAAAUGGAAGUCCCAGU
rnacentral:hammerhead_ribozyme from 1 species